UUAGCCGUGGCUUAUUCUUACGGUACCGUCACCCGAAGGCUUCUUCCCGUACUAAAGGAGUUUACAACCCAAGGCCUUCUUCCUCCACGCGGCGUCGCUGCGUCAGGCUUUCGCCCAUUGCGCAAAAUUCCCC
rnacentral:rRNA from 1 species